rnacentral:pre_miRNA from 1 species
AAUACCUCAGUCUUAUCAGGUGUUCUUUAAAAUCACCUGGAAAUGCUGAGGUUGCGU